AUUGCAGAAUUCAGUGAAUCAUCGAAUCUUUGAACGCAUCUUGCGCUCCUUGGUAUUCCGAGGAGCAUGCCUGUUUGAGUGUCGU
rnacentral:rRNA from 1 species